CUGUCUUCCUGCCGCCACUGGAGUCCCUUCCUGCGAGUGAGCUGCUCGCCCUCUUCUUUCUCUGCUCUGGAUCUGCCACCACGAACUGAAGGGCCACUGGAGCUGGGGGGUCUACAGCCCUGAUUUACCAUUCCAGAGAUGAGUGAACCUACUCAGGACCCCACUGGAGUUAAGGGAUCUCGUGCACUGCACUUUGCAGGAAGAGGGCCGCAACUUGCUCUCUUCCUGCCGUCACACAUUCUCAUGAUUUCUUCAUGCAAGGUUUUGUUGGAAUACACACGGCUCCUCCUUUCCACCAUCUGCCUGAGAACUUCACCUCAGCGGAGGGGAGUUGUACCUUUUCUGCCGGAACCUGAAGUUCUCAACUUUCCAGUACAAGGAUGCAUUUAUGGAGGCAAAUCCAGGGGUGCAGGUGGUGCCCCACAACGAAGCAACCUGUGGAACCCCAGACAUCGCCUGUUACAAAGAGGAAAAAGCAGGCUCUGCAAAAGAGUUACCAAGCCUGAGGAAAGGGGCCAAAAGUGAAGCAAUGGCACAGCAUAACUUUGGGAUGGCAGGUGAGAUUUCCAUCCCUGUUCCUCAAAGGGAACAGCCUCGUUUUGUUUGAGGGUGCGGUGUUGGAAUCAAAGCGCAAGGCCAGUUUUCUUUACUGCAGACUGCGCUGUAGUGCAAAUAGCUUUCGUGUCCC